rnacentral:rRNA from 1 species
UACAGAGACUGCAAGCGUUAUUCGGAUUCACUGGGCAUAAAGGGUGCGCAGGCGGCCGAGUGUGUGAGGCGUGAAAGCCCGGGGCUUAACCCCGGAAUUGCACCUCAAACUACACGGCUAGAGCAUUGGAGAGGGUAGCAGAAUUCAUGGUGUAGCAGUGAAAUGCGUAGAUAUCAUGAGGAAUACCAGAGGCGAAGGCGGCUACCUGGACAAUUGCUGACGCUCAGGCACGAAAGCGUGGGGAGCAAAAGGG